GACGAACGCUGGCGGCGUGCUUAACACAUGCAAGUCGAACGAUGAAGCUGGAGCUUGCUCCAGUGGAUUAGUGGCGAACGGGUGAGUAACACGUGAGCAAUCUGCCCUUGACUCUGGGAUAACUGCGGGAAACUGUAGCUAAUACCGGAUACGACACCUUGGGGCAUCCCGAGGUGUGGAAAGAAUUUCGGUCAAGGAUGAGCUCGCGGCCUAUCAGCUAGUUGGUGAGGUAAAGGCUCACCAAGGCGACGACGGGUAGCCGGCCUGAGAGGGUGACCGGCCACACUGGAACUGAGAUACGGUCCAGACUCCUACGGGAGGCAGCAGUGGGGAAUAUUGCACAAUGGGCGCAAGCCUGAUGCAGCAACGCCGCGUGAGGGAUGAAGGCCUUCGGGUUGUAAACCUCUUUAGCAGGAAGAAGCGAAAGUGACGGUACCGUGCAGAAAAAGACACCGGCUAACUACGUG
rnacentral:rRNA from 1 species